rnacentral:rRNA from 1 species
AGAGUUUGAUCCUGGCUCAGAUUGAACGCUGGCGGCAUGCUUUACACAUGCAAGUCGAACGGCAGCACGGGUGCUUGCACCUGGUGGCGAGUGGCGAACGGGUGAGUAAUGCACCGGAACGUACCCAGUAAUGGGGGAUAACACAUCGAAAGAUGUGCUAAUACCGCAUACGCCCUGAGGGGGAAAGCGGGGGAUCGUAAGACCUCGCGUUAUUGGAGCGGCCGAUGCCGGAUUAGCUAGUUGGUGAGGUAAGAGCUCACCAAGGCGACGAUCCGUAGCUGGUCUGAGAGGACGACCAGCCACACUGGGACUGAGACACGGCCCAGACUCCUACGGGAGGCAGCAGUGGGGAAUUUUGGACAAUGGGCGCAAGCCUGAUCCAGCCAUGCCGCGUGAGUGAAGAAGGCCUUCGGGUUGUAAAACUCUUUCGCAAGGAAAGAAAACUUAUCU